rnacentral:ribozyme from 1 species
UGCCCAGCAGCUCCUAUCCCUACCUUCUCGUGGUACUGGCCAGGGUACGAGUAACCUUGGUAACCAACCCCGGUGGGAACUUUGGUCGUAUGCUAACAGGGAAGG